GUUAGAAACAGGGAACUGGAAUAAAGAGAGUUUUAUUUGUGUUACAUCAACACUUGAAAGAUAAGAAGUCUGGCGAGAGACAUGUAUCAUGUAUAAUUACUGUUUUAUUGUGUAAUUUGUUAUGUCCCUUCCUUUCAAACGAAAGAAAUGCUGGGGAGAGUAAAGGAUCUGAGUUUGCGACUAUUUUAUUGUGGAAUUUGCUACGUCCUGCCUUUUAGAAUGUAAGAAGGCUGGGCUUUCUUGACUAUUUUGUUGUGUUAUUUCCUACGUUCUGCCUUUUAAAACUUAAGAAGGCUGGGGAGAGAUAUGGAUUAGGGAUACUGACUGUUUUAUUGUGUAUUUUCUUAUGUCCCGCCAUUUGAAGCGAAAUAAAGGCUGGGGAGCGACAAGGAUCUGGGUUUAUAACUAUAUUAUUGUGUGGUUUGCUGCGUUCUGCCUUUUAAAACGUAAAAAGACUGGGGAGAGACCAUGAAAACGUAACAACGCUUGGGAGAAACAGUUUUCUGCGGUUAGUUACUGUUUUAAUGUGCGAUUUAUUGCAUCCUGUCCUUUAAAAACGUGAAAGAAGACUGGGGAGAUUCAGGGAACUGGAUUAAAGAGAGUUUUAUUCUGUCACAUCAACAAUUGAAACGUAAGAAGGCUGGGAAGAGGCAUGCAUCAUGUACAAUGACUGUUUUAUUGUGUAAUUUGUUGUGUCCCGCCAUUUCAAGCGAGAGGAAGGCUGGGGAGAGACACAAUAUCUGGUUUUAUAACUAUUUUAUUGUGUAAUUUGCUAUCAGUACCACGUGGUUUACUAAAAAUCAAUAUUUUAUUGUGUUCCUAGGUUGCAUUGCACGUUCUGCACGUUCACAAUGUGCAUUACGUAUAACGUUCCAUCAUCCGAAACCAGUGACUAACUCUAUUUGACCGUCUCGAGCAUCUUCUCGCUGUAGCGCAGUCGGUUAAGCGGUUGGUACAAACGAUGCAGACAUCGAGCUGGAGGUUGGUGGUUCGAAUCCAGUGAAAGGUUGCAUUGCACGUUCUGCACGUUCACAAUGUGCAUUACGUAUAACGUUCCAUCAUCCGAAACCAGUGACUAACUCUAUUUGACCGUCUCGAGCAUCUUCUCGCUGUAGCGCAGUCGGUUAAGCGGUUGGUACAAACGAUGCAGACAUCGAGCUGGAGGUUGGUGGUUCGAAUCCAGUGAAAGGUUGCAUUGCACGUUCUGCACGUUCACAAUGUGCAUUACGUAUAACGUUCCAUCAUCCGAAACCAGUGACUAACUCUAUUUGACCGUCUCGAGCAUCUUCUCGCUGUAGCGCAGUCGGUUAAGCGGUUGGUACAAACGAUGCAGACAUCGAGCUGGAGGUUGGUGGUUCGAAUCCAGUGAAAGGUUGCAUUGCACGUUCUGCACGUUCACAAUGUGCAUUACGUAUAACGUUCCAUCAUCCGAAACCAGUGACUAACUCUAUUUGACCGUCUCGAGCAUCUUCUCGCUGUAGCGCAGUCGGUUAAGCGGUUGGUACAAACGAUGCAGACAUCGAGCUGGAGGUUGGUGGUUCGAAUCCAGUGAAAGGUUGCAUUGCACGUUCUGCACGUUCACAAUGUGCAUUACGUAUAACGUUCCAUCAUCCGAAACCAGUGACUAACUCUAUUUGACCGUCUCGAGCAUCUUCUCGCUGUAGCGCAGUCGGUUAAGCGGUUGGUACAAACGAUGCAGACAUCGAGCUGGAGGUUGGUGGUUCGAAUCCAGUGAAAGGUAAGUUAUAUUUAAAUGAUUGUUUGUAAUGUGGAUGCCCAUACGUAAUGUGAAUAGGAAGCUCAGAAUGAAGGUAGAAGUAGUGGAUAGAAGACCCAUCCCCUCCCCCCCCCCCCCCACACACACACA
rnacentral:lncRNA from 1 species